AGUGAACGCUGGCGGUAGGCCUAACACAUGCGAGUCGAACGGCAGCACAGUAAGAGCUUGCUCUUACGGGUGGCGAGUGGCGGACGGGUGAGGAAUACAUCGGAAUCUACUUUUUCGUGGGGGAUAACGUAGGGAAACUCACGCUAAUACCGCAUACGACCUACGGGUGAAAGCAGGGGAUCUUCGGACCUUGCGCGAUUGAAUGAGCCGAUGUCGGAUUAGCUAGUUGGCGGGGUAAAGGCCCACCAAGGCGACGAUCCGUAGCUGGUCUGAGAGGAUGAUCAGCCACACUGGAACUGAGACACGGUCCAGACUCCUACGGGAGGCAGCAGUGGGGAAUAUUGGACAAUGGGCGCAAGCCUGAUCCAGCCAUACCGCGUGGGUGAAGAAGGCCUUCGGGUUGUAAAGCCCCUUUGUUGGGAAAGAAAAGCAGCAGGUUAAUACCCCGCUGUUCUGACGGUACCCAAAGAAUAAGCACCGGCUAACUUCGUG
rnacentral:rRNA from 1 species